AUACGGAGGGUGCAAGCGUUAAUCGGAAUUACUGGGCGUAAAGCGCGCGUAGGCGGUUUGUUAAGCAAGAUGUGAAAGCCCUGGGCUCAACCUGGGAACUGCAUUUUGAACUGGCAAGCUAGAAUACUGUAGAGGGUGGUGGAAUUUCCAGUGUAGCGGUGAAAUGCGUAGAGAUUGGAAGGAACAUCAGUGGCGAAGGCGGCCACCUGGACAGAUAUUGACGCUGAGGAACGAAAGCGUGGGGAGCGAACCGGAUUAGAAACCCCAGUAGUCC
rnacentral:rRNA from 1 species